AGUGUUAGCUCUCACUUCCUUCUGCAGCCUUGACUGUGUUUCCAUGGCCUCCUCAGUCUAAAGGUUGCUUCUCUGCCUUCCACAGUCAAAGCCAACAAAUGAAAAUAAUCACUAGUGGGAGCUGGGCGGGAGUACCCAGGAUUCUGGUCAAUCACUCUUCAACUCAGAACAAGAGGAAGGCCUGCGGCAUGUCUGCUCCUGCCCUCCUCCAGCCAAGGAUGAGCUAUGUUUCACGUGCUGGCAGGCAGCAUCAUACAAAGUUCUGUUGAGUUCUGAGAUGGGUAUGACCGGAAGGAGCAACCUGGGGAGUGAAAGAAGCCCCCUGUCUUACAGUAUCUAAAUCCCUAAGUAUGGGGAAAACGGCACCAACAUUUUGGAAGCUGAAACACGCUGGGUGGUCCAGUGGUCCUGAGAUCAGACCUGAGAAAAUGGAAUCUCAAACCAGCAAAGGGAAGCUGAAAACCAACCUGAUUUACCCCACAAAAUUCUCCAAAGUCUCAGAUGGAUGGCACCAGGUGUCUGGCCAUGGGAGAGAAGGUGCAUUAAAACCAGAAGUCCAAGGCAGACUCUCUGGGAAGUCAGGCACCUGGUGCUCUCUGGCCAACAGAAGUCUGCAGCGUAUUCAUUCUCUGGAGACGGCAAACCAAGGACUUUGACUGGAGUGCCAGGCCCAGCUGAGAAAAAUCGAGUCCAUGUUUACUGAAUACUGAAGCAGGGGUCCCCAACCCUUUCCCCCAACUCAGCUCUCACAACAAGGGUGGCUUGACUCAUCCUUCAGGCAGACUGGAAGAUGCCUCUUUGAAGAAAGUGAAACAUUUCAUGAAGCACCUAAAAAGAUGAUCCUGGGAGAGUGUCCCCAAUAGCUAGUGUACCCAGACUAAACUGACCGGACCCAGCUAUGAGCUCAGACUUCCAAUCGGCCUUUUCUCCCUACUCUUACUCUGGAGCAGAAAGCCAAGAAUGACCAGAUAUCUGAUAAGUCCCUCUGAUAGGGAUGAUAAAGACCCAAACAAAAGGAAAAGGGCAGCUUAAAGGAAACAGAAACUUUGCAAAGAUAAGAAAACUCUGAAAAAUAUAUCAACAAAUACUCUGAGGGCUACAAGAAAGUAUUGCAUCCUUGAAGCA